rnacentral:rRNA from 1 species
GAUGAACGCUAGCGGCAGGCUUAACACAUGCAAGUCGAGGGGUAUGCUUCUUCGGAAGCAGAGACCGGCGCACGGGUGCGUAACGCGUAUGCAAUCUACCUUUUACAGAGGGGUAGCCCAGAGAAAUUUGGAUUAAUACCUCAUAGUAUUAUAGAAUGGCAUCAUUUUAUAAUUAAAGUCACAACGGUAAAGAUGAGCAUGCGUCCCAUUAGCUAGUUGGUAAGGAACGGCUUACCAAGGCUACGAUGGGUAGGGGUCCUGAGAGGGAGA